GACGUAGGGCGCGAGCGUUGUCCGGAUUUAUUGGGCGUAAAGCGCGUGUAGGCGGCCCGAUAAGUCCGCUGUGAAAGUCCAGGGCUCAACCCUGGGAUGCCGGUGGAUACUGUCGGGCUCGAGUCCGGAAGAGGCGAGUGGAAUUCCGUGGUGUAGCGGUGAAAUGCGCAGAUAUCAGGAGGAACACCUAUUGCGAAGGCAGCUCGCUGGGACGUAACUGACGCUGAGACGCGAAAGCGUGGGGAGCAAACAGG
rnacentral:rRNA from 1 species